rnacentral:rRNA from 1 species
UAGCCUUGACAUUGAUAGAAUCUGAUAGAGAUAUCGGAGUGCCUGCUUGCAGGAACUUGAAAACAGGUGCUGCACGGCUGUCGUCAGCUCGUGUCGUGAGAUGUUGGGUUAAGUCCCGCAACGAGCGCAACCCUCGUCGUUAGUUGCUAACAGUUCGGCUGAGCACUCUAGCGAGACUGCCUUCGCAAGGAGGAGGAAGGUGAGGACGACGUCAAGUCAUCAUGGCCCUUAUGGCUAGGGCUACACACGUGCUACAAUGGGGCGUACAGAGAGUUGCGAUACCGCGAGGUGGAGCCAAUCUCAUAAAGCGUCUCUCAGUUCGGAUUGAUCUCUGCAACUCGAGAUCAUGAAGCUGGAAUCACUAGUAAUCGUAGAUCAGCAAUGCUACGGUGAAUACGUUCCCGGGUCU